UGGGAUAUAGCCAAGCGGUAAGGCAACGGACUUUGACUCCGUCAUUUCGCCGGUUCAAAUCCGGCUAUCCCAACCA
rnacentral:tRNA from 3 species